UUCAGGAUUGUCUCUUCGGGUGAGAAGUUUCUCUUCUCGAAAAUUAGCUGAUUCCUGGAGCACCAGAUUGACCACACGAUCCAUGCCGAGAAAGUACCUGCUUCGAUACCUGUUGGCGGUAGAGAAGGUAUCUUCCUAACUCUAUUCCAGCCCUCAGGGAAGGAGGUGAAGCUUAGGGAGUUUAUAUAGCUUGCUGAUGGUGCUAACUCCCAGACUUUCUUUGCAUAGGGACAAUUGAACAGCAGAUGGACUACUGACUCUUCUGAAUCACACCGAGCACAGCGGCUGGUUACUGGAAUGUUUCUUAUUGCAAACUGUUCUCCUACUGGUAGAGCACCAUGUAGGGAUUUCCAUAAGAAGACUUUGAUCUUUUCCA
rnacentral:lncRNA from 1 species